rnacentral:rRNA from 1 species
CCUACGGGAGGCAGCAGUGAGGAAUAUUGGUCAAUGGCCGUAAGGCUGAACCAGCCAAGUCGCGUGAAGGAAGAAGGAUCUCUGGUUUGUAAACUUCUUUUAUAGGGGAAUAAAGGUAUCCACGUGUGGAUAUUUGCAUGUACCCUAUGAAUAAGCAUCGGCUCACUCCGUGCCAGCAGCCGCGGUAAUACGGAGGAUGCGAGCGUUAUCCGGAUUUAUUGGGUUUAAAGGGUGCGUAGGUUGUUUUGUAAGUCAGCGGUGAAAGUUUGUGGCUCAACCACAAAAUUGCCGUUGAAACUGGAAGACUUGAGUGUGGUAGAGGUAGGCGGAAUGCGUAGUGUAGCGGUGAAAUGCAUAGAUAUCACGCAGAACUCCGAUUGCGAAGGCAGCUUACUAAGCCAUAACUGACAUUGAAGCACGAAAGCGUGGGGAGCAAACAGGAUUAGAUACCCGUGUAGUC